AUUCAUUGUAAUGAUCUCAAACCCUAAAUAUUUCUCCAAAUUUGCCGUGUCAAAUUAUUUGUAAAAAUAGGUUGAAGAUUGACAUUGUUGUUUUUAGAGAUUUAGUGUGGUAACAAAAUUAUGGACAUCAAGCUGCAUCUUUCGAAUUAUGGUUGAUCGUUCGGUAGAUAAACAAAAAGUAUAGAUAAAAUAUUUAAUAUUUAUUCAUUACAU
rnacentral:sRNA from 1 species